GUGGGGAAUUUUGGACAAUGGGCGCAAGCCUGAUCCAGCAAUGCCGCGUGCAGGAAGAAGGCCUUCGGGUUGUAAACUGCUUUUGUACGGAACGAAACGGUCCGGGUUAAUACCCUGGGCUAAUGACGGUACCGUAAGAAUAAGCACCGGCUAACUACGUGCCAGCAGCCGCGGUAAUACGUAGGGUGCAAGCGUUAAUCGGAAUUACUGGGCGUAAAGCGUGCGCAGGCGGUUUUGUAAGACAGGCGUGAAAUCCCCGGGCUCAACCUGGGAAUUGCGCUUGUGACUGCAGUGCUGGAGUGCGGCAGAGGGGGAUGGAAUUCCGCGUGUAGCAGUGAAAUGCGUAGAUAUGCGGAGGAACACCGAUGGCGAAGGCAAUCCCCUGGGCCUGCACUGACGCUCAUGCACGAAAGCGUGGGGAGCAAACAGGAUUAGAUACCCUGGUAGUCC
rnacentral:rRNA from 1 species